UUGACACUAAGGGCGGAGUGACAUAAUUUCAGGAGUGAGGGUUAAGGAGAGGUUUCCCCCUCCCCCUGGUGUUCUUAGUAAGCCUGGAAGCUAAUCACUAAGAGUAUCACCAGUAUGAUGACGUGCUUCAUCAUAACCCUUUCCUUAUU
rnacentral:sRNA from 1 species